UACGGAGGGCGCAAGCGUUGUUCGGAAUCACUGGGCGUAAAGCGCGUGUAGGCGGCUUGGCAAGUCGGGUGUGAAAGCCCGGGGCCUAACCCCGGAACUGCAUUCGAAACUGCCUCGCUCGAGUCCCGGAGAGGAUGGUGGAAUUCCCGGUGUAGUGGUGAAAUACGUAGAUAUCGGGAGGAACACCAGCGGCGAAGGUGUCCAUCUGGCCGGUUAUUGACUCGGAGACGCGAAAGCGUGGGGAGCAAACAGG
rnacentral:rRNA from 1 species